rnacentral:miRNA from 14 species
UUUUGCGAUGUGUUCGUAAUGU